rnacentral:rRNA from 1 species
GAUGAACGCUGGCGGCGUGCCUAAUACAUCCAAGUCGAGCGAACGGACGAGAAGCUUGCUUCUCUGAUGUUAGCGGCGGACGGGUGAGUAACACGUGGAUAACCUACCUAUAAGACUGGGAUAACUUCGGGAAACCGGAGCUAAUACCGGAUGAUAUUUUGAACCGCAUGGUUCAAAAGUGAAAGACGGUCUUGCUGUCACUUAUAGAUGGAUCCGCGCUGCAUUAGCUAGUUGGUAAGGUAACGGCUUACCAAGGCAACGAUGCAUAGCCGACCUGAGAGGGUGAUCGGCCACACUGGAACUGAGACACGGUCCAGACUCCUACGGGAGGCAGCAGUAGGGAAUCUUCCGCAAUGGGCGAAAGCCUGACGGAGCAACGCCGCGUGAGUGAUGAAGGUCUUCGGAUCGUAAAACUCUGUUAUUAGGGAAGAACAUAUGUGUAAGUAACUGUGCACAUCUUGACGGUACCUAAUCAGAAAGCCACGGCUAACUACGUG